ACUCAAAUGAAUUGACGGGGGCUCACACAAGCGGUGGAGCAUGUGGAUUAAUUCGAAGCAACGCGAAGAACCUUACCUAGGUUUGACAUGCACGGAUGCUCUCGGCGAAAGCUGAGUAGGCUGCCUUCGGGUGAAACGUGCACAGGUGCUGCAUGGCUGUCGUCAGCUCGUGCUGUGAAGUGUCGGGUUAAGUCCCUUAACGAGCGAAACCCUUAUCGCUAGUUGCCAGCGGGUCAAGCCGGGAACUCUAGCGAGACUGCCGGCGUUAAGCCGGAGGAAGGCGGGGAUGACGUCAAGUCCUCAUGGCCUUUAUGCCUAGGGUGUCACACGUGCUACAAUGGCCGGGACAGAGCGACGCGAGACCGUGAGGUGGAGCAAAUCGCAGAAAACCGGCCCAAGUUCGGAUUGGAGUCUGCAACUCGACUCCAUGAAGUUGGAAUCGCUAGUAAUCGCGAAUCAGCCAUGUCGCGGUGAAUGUGUUCCUGAGCCUUGUACACACCGCCCGU
rnacentral:rRNA from 1 species